rnacentral:rRNA from 1 species
UACAGAGGUCUCAAGCGUUGUUCGGAUUCAUUGGGCGUAAAGGGUGCGUAGGUGGCGCCGUAAGUCAGGUGUGAAAUCUCGGGGCUCAACCCCGAAACUGCACUUGAUACUGCGAUGCUCGAGUACUGGAGAGGAGAGUGGAAUUUACGGUGUAGCAGUGAAAUGCGUAGAUAUCGUAAGGAAGACCAGUGGCGAAGGCGAAUCGCUGGACAGUUACUGACACUGAGGCACGAAGGCCAGGGGAGCAAACGGG